rnacentral:rRNA from 1 species
AUUGAACGCUGGCGGCAUGCUUUACAUAUGCAAGUCGGACGAGUGGCGAACGGGUGAGUAACGCAUCGGAACGUACCGAGGAAUGGGGGAUAACUGUCCGAAAGGACAGCUAAUACCGCAUAAUAUUCGAGCGGCCGAUGUCUGAUUAGAUUGUUGGCGGGGUAAAGGCCCACCAAGGCGACGAUCAGUAGCGGGUCUGAGAGGAUGAUCCGCCAAACUGGGACUGAGACACGGCCCGGACGCCUACGGUAGGUGGCAGUGGGGAAUUUUGGACAAUGGGCGCAAGCCUGAUCCACACAUGCCGCGUAUCUGAAGAAGGCCUUCGUGUUGUAAAGCACUUUUGUCAGAGAUGCGGUACCUGAAUAAUAAGCACCGGCUAACUACGUGCCAGCAGCCGCGGUAAUUC